CACGUGGUUCCCGUACGAUUACCGAAGUUAUGCAACGUCGAGCCUGGUCAGUACCUUGAUGGGUGACCGCUUGGGAAUACCAGAUGCUGUAU